UUUGGGGGUUUAUGUUUUGGUGUAGGGAUGAGGGUUCGAGAUAAAUCUUGUUUAAGUAGUUUGGUGAGGUAAUGUUAAUUAGAGGCAUAUAAGUACUGAAGAGGAAUAAAAAUAGAUAAUAUAGGGGGUAGGGGGAGUUAAGUUUUGUACCUUUUGUAUAAGGGGUUGUUGAAUGAUAAGGAUGAAUUUUUUUUUCUCGAAGACUUAAGAGCUAUUUAUUUAAGGUUGGGUUGAUGUUGCAUAAUCAUUCUUGUUAUGAAUAAAUAGAAGUGAAAUGCUAUUCGAUUAGGUGGAUAUCUGGUUUUUGAUUAAAUAACUUUAGGUUAGUUAAUGGGUGGAUUAGAGUUUCAUUAUAGUAAUCUUUUGGGGAUUAGCUUGAGAGGUUUGAGGUGGCUUUGUAAAAGUAGAUUUAGAGUUGAGUGUUAGACUUGAAAUCAGUCAGUAUGUCGUUGUAGAUGGUUAAAUGGGUUUGUUAGGUGUAGAGAAUGAAUUUAGUCGGGUUUGUUUAUUAGUUAGGAAUAAGUAAGAAAAAUGAUAGUAUUAGUAAGUAUAAUAAAAAUAGGAUUAGAGGGAUUAGAGGGCUAUAUGAAAUGGUAGAAGUAAUAGUUGUGUGGCUCUAAGGAAUUAGGCAAAAAUGUCUCCUGCCUGUUUAUCAAAAACAUGGUUUUUUGGGAAUAAUGAAAAAUCGGACCUGCUCUAUGAUGUUUUAAAUGGCCGCAGUAUAUUGACUGUGCUAAGGUAGCAUAAUAAUUAGUCUUUUGAUUAGAGACUGGAAUGAAAGGUUUGUCAAGGGGGUAGCUGUCUUAGGGUUAGAGGGUUGAAAUUGAUUUAAGUGUGAGAAAGCACUUAUUAUACUAAGGGACGAGAAGACCCUAUUGAGUUUUACGUGUGUUGAGAUGUAUUUUGUUUAAUGAUUGGUUAAACAUCAAAAGUAUAUGUUUUACUGGGGCGGUAAAGAAAGAGGAAAUCUUUUUAGAAAGUUGAGAUUAGGACUUUAAGAGAAAGAUAAUGAUCCAAUUAGUUUGGGUUGAUAAUAGGAUUAAAUUACCAUAGGGAUAACAGCGUAAAGUUAUUGGAGAGUUCAUAUUGAUGAUAGUCUUUGCGACCUCGAUGUUGAAUUAGGGUGGCUGUUUGGUGAAGGAGCUUUAUAAGAGAGUCUGUUCGACUAGUGAUACCCUACAUGAUUUGAGUUCAAACCGGUGUGAGCCAGGUUGGUUUCUAUCUUUAGUUGAGAUUUAGGGCUGGCUUUAGAUACGAAAGGACCGGGUGUGGCUUUUGGGUUAAAAAGUUGAUG
rnacentral:rRNA from 1 species